rnacentral:rRNA from 1 species
GAUGAACGCUAGCUACAUGCUUAACACAUGCAAGUCGAGGGACCGGCGCACGGGUGCGUAACACGUAUACAUCCUUCCCUUUACCCGGAGAUAGCCUUUCGAAAUAAAAAUUAAUACUCGACGUAAAGGAUUGGGAUGCGUUCCAUUAGGUUGUUGGGGAGGUAACGGCUCACCAAGCAUUCGAUGGAUAGGGCUUCUGAGAGGAAGGUCCCCCACAUUGGGACUGAGACACGGUCCAAACUCCUACGGGAGGCAGCAGUGAGGAAUAAUGGUCAAUGGGCGUGAGCCUGAACCAGCCAAGUAGCGUGAAGGAUGAAGGCUUAUGGGUCGUAAACUUCUUUUAUAUAAGAAUAUGUAUUAUAUGAAUAAGGAUCGGCGAACUCCGUGCCAGCAGCCGCGGUAAUC